GUGAGGAAUAUUGGUCAAUGGACGCAAGUCUGAACCAGCCAUGCCGCGUGCAGGAAGACGGCUCUAUGAGUUGUAAACUGCUUUUGUACGAGGGUAAACGCAGAUACGUGUAUCUGUCUGAAAGUAUCGUACGAAUAAGGAUCGGCUAACUCCGUGCCAGCAGCCGCGGUAAUACGGAGGAUCCGAGCGUUAUCCGGAUUUAUUGGGUUUAAAGGGUGCGUAGGCGGUUUGAUAAGUUAGAGGUGAAAUUCCGGGGCUUAACUCCGGCACUGCCUCUAAUACUGUUGAGCUAGAGAGUAGUUGCGGUAGGCGGAAUGUAUGGUGUAGCGGUGAAAUGCUUAGAGAUCAUACAGAACACCGAUUGCGAAGGCAGCUUACCAAACUAUAUCUGACGUUGAGGCACGAAAGCGUGGGGAGCAAACAGG
rnacentral:rRNA from 1 species